rnacentral:rRNA from 2 species
CUUAAUUGGGCGUUAAGUUGCAGGGUAUAGACCCGAAACCCGGUGAUCUAGCCAUGGGCAGGUUGAAGGUUGGGUAACACUAACUGGAGGACCGAACCGACUAAUGUUGAAAAAUUAGCGGAUGACCUGUGGCUGGGGGUGAAAGGCCAAUCAAACCGGGAGAUAGCUGGUUCUCCCCGAAAGCUAUUUAGGUAGCGCCUCGUGAAUUCAUCUCCGGGGGUAGAGCACUGUUUCGGCUAGGGGGCCAUCCCGGCUUACCAACCCGAUGCAAACUGCGAAUACCGGAGAAUGUUAUCACGGGAGACACACGGCGGGUGCUAACGUCCGUCGUGAAGAGGGAAACAACCCAGACCGCCAGCUAAGGUCCCAAAGUCAUGGUUAAGUGGGAAACGAUGUGGGAAGGCCCAGACAGCCAGGAUGUUGGCUUAGAAGCAGCCAUCAUUUAAAGAAAGCGUAAUAGCUCACUGGUCGAGUCGGCCUGCGCGGAAGAUGUAACGGGGCUAAACCAUG